rnacentral:rRNA from 1 species
ACAAGCAGUGGGAGCACAGAGCAAUCUGUGUGACUGCGUACCUUUUGUAUAAUGGGUCAGCGACUUAUAUUCUGUAGCAAGGUUAACCGAAUAGGGGAGCCGAAGGGAAACCGAGUCUUAACCGGGCGUUAAGUUGCAGGGUAUAGACCCGAAACCCGGUGAUCUAGCCAUGGGCAGGUUGAAGGUUGGGUAACACUAACUGGAGGACCGAACCGACUAAUGUUGAAAAAUUAGCGGAUGACUUGUGGCUGGGGGUGAAAGGCCAAUCAAACCGGGAGAUAGCUGGUUCUCCCCGAAAGCUAUUUAGGUAGCGCCUCGUGAAUUCAUCUCCGGGGGUAGAGCACUGUUUCGGCAAGGGGGUCAUCCCGACUUACCAACCCGAUGCAAACUGCGAAUACCGGAGAAUGUUAUCACGGGAGACACACGGCGGGUGCUAACGUCCGUCGUGAAGAGGGAAACAACCCAGACCGCCAGCUAAGGUCCCAAAGUCAUGGUUAAGUGGGAAACGAUGUGGGAAGGCCCAGACAGCCAGGAUGUUGGCUUAGAAGCAGCCAUCAUUUAAAGAAAGCGUAAUAGCUCACUGGUCGAGUCGGCCUGCGCGGAAGAUGUAACGGGGCUAAACCAUGCACCGAAGCUGCGGCAGCGACACUGUGUGUUGUUGGGUAGGGGAGCGUUCUGUAAGCCUGUGAAGGUGUGCUGUGAGGCAUGCUGGAGGUAUCAGAAGUGCGAAUGCUGACAUAAGUAACGAUAAAGCGGGUGAAAAGCCCGCUCGCCGGAAGACCAAGGGUUCCUGUCCAACGUUAAUCGGGGCAGGGUGAGUCGACCCCUAAGGCGAGGCCGAAAGGCGUAGUCGAUGGGAAACAGGUUAAUAUUCCUGUACUUGGUGUUACUGCGAAGGGGGGACGGAGAAGGCUAUGUUGGCCGGGCGACGGUUGUCCCGGUUUAAGCGUGUAGGCUGGUUUUCCAGGCAAAUCCGGAAAAUCAAGGCUGAGGCGUGAUGACGAGGCACUACGGUGCUGAAGCAACAAAUGCCCUGCUUCCAGGAAAAGCCUCUAAGCAUCAGGUAACAUCAAAUCGUACCCCAAACCGACACAGGUGGUCAGGUAGAGAAUACCAAGGCGCUUGAGAGAACUCGGGUGAAGGAACUAGGCAAAAUGGUGCCGUAACUUCGGGAGAAGGCACGCUGAUAUGUAGGUGAAGUCCCUCGCGGAUGGAGCUGAAAUCAGUCGAAGAUACCAGCUGGCUGCAACUGUUUAUUAAAAACACAGCACUGUGCAAACACGAAAGUGGACGUAUACGGUGUGACGCCUGCCCGGUGCCGGAAGGUUAAUUGAUGGGGUCAGCGCAAGCGAAGCUCUUGAUCGAAGCCCCGGUAAACGGCGGCCGUAACUAUAACGGUCCUAAGGUAGCGAAAUUCCUUGUCGGGUAAGUUCCGACCUGCACGAAUGGCGUAAUGAUGGCCAGGCUGUCUCCACCCGAGACUCAGUGAAAUUGAACUCGCUGUGAAGAUGCAGUGUACCCGCGGCAAGACGGAAAGACCCCGUGAACCUUUACUAUAGCUUGACACUGAACAUUGAGCCUUGAUGUGUAGGAUAGGUGGGAGGCUUUGAAGUGUGGACGCCAGUCUGCAUGGAGCCGACCUUGAAAUACCACCCUUUAAUGUUUGAUGUUCUAACGUGGACCCGUGAUCCGGGUUGCGGACAGUGUCUGGUGGGUAGUUUGACUGGGGCGGUCUCCUCCUAAAGAGUAACGGAGGAGCACGAAGGUUGGCUAAUCCUGGUCGGACAUCAGGAGGUUAGUGCAAUGGCAUAAGCCAGCUUGACUGCGAGCGUGACGGCGCGAGCAGGUGCGAAAGCAGGUCAUAGUGAUCCGGUGGUUCUGAAUGGAAGGGCCAUCGCUCAACGGAUAAAAGGUACUCCGGGGAUAACAGGCUGAUACCGCCCAAGAGUUCAUAUCGACGGCGGUGUUUGGCACCUCGAUGUCGGCUCAUCACAUCCUGGGGCUGAAGUAGGUCCCAAGGGUAUGGCUGUUCGCCAUUUAAAGUGGUACGCGAGCUGGGUUUAGAACGUCGUGAGACAGUUCGGUCCCUAUCUGCCGUGGGCGCUGGAGAACUGAGGGGGGCUGCUCCUAGUACGAGAGGACCGGAGUGGACGCAUCACUGGUGUUCGGGUUGUCAUGCCAAUGGCACUGCCCGGUAGCUAAAUGCGGAAGAGAUAAGUGCUGAAAGCAUCUAAGCACGAAACUUGCCCCGAGAUGAGUUCUCCCUGACCCUUUAAGGGUCCUGAAGGAACGUUGAAGACGACGACGUUGAUAGGCCGGGUGUGUAAGCGCAGCGAUGCGUUGAGCUAACCGGUACUAAUGAACCGUGAGGCUUAACCUUACAACGCCGAAGGUGUUU